AGAUUGAACGCUGGCGGCAUGCCUUACACAUGCAAGUCGAACGGUAGAGUAGCAAUACUCGAGAGUGGCGAACGGGUGAGUAAUAUAUCGGAACGUGCCCAGUCGUGGGGGAUAACGUAGAGAAAUUUACGCUAAUACCGCAUACGAUCUACGGAUGAAAGCGGGGGAUCGCAAGACCUCGCGCGAUUGGAGCGGCUGAUAUCAGUAUUAGGUUGUUGGUGAGGUUAAAAGCUCACCAAGCCGACGAUCUGUAGCUGGUUUGAGAGAACGACCAGCCACACUGGGACUGAGACACGGCCCAGACUCCGUACGGGAGGCAGCAGGUGGGGUAAUUUUGGACAAGUGGGACGAAAGGCCUGAUCCAGCAAUGCCGCGUGCAGGAAGAAGGUCCGUUCGGGUUAGUAAACGUGUACUUUUAGGAACGGUAACGUAAACCGGUUCCUUUACUAAAGUAAAGG
rnacentral:rRNA from 1 species